rnacentral:rRNA from 1 species
UGAGGAAUAUUGGACAAUGGGCGCAAGCCUGAUCCAGCCAUGCCGCGUGCAGGAAGAAGCAUCUAUGGUGUGUAAACUGCUUUUGUACGGGAAGAAACACCCCUUCGUGAAGGGGCUUGACGGUACCGUAAGAAUAAGGAUCGGCUAACUCCGUGCCAGCAGCCGCGGUAAUACGGAGGAUCCAAGCGUUAUCCGGAAUCAUUGGGUUUAAAGGGUCCGUAGGCGGUUUGGUAAGUCAGUGGUGAAAGCCCUUCGCUCAACGGAGGAACGGCCAUUGAUACUGCCAGACUUGAAUUACUGGGAAGUAACUAGAAUAUGUAGUGUA